GGGGGGGGGGGGGGGGGGGGCGGGCGGGUGCGGGGCGAGGGGGGCCGGCGGGGCGGGUGGCGGAGGGGGGCGGAGCGCGUGGGAACCUGCCCUUAGGUUCGGAAUAACUCCCCGAGAGGGGGGCUAAUACCGGAGAAUGUCGUCGGACCAAAGAUUUAUCGCCUUUGGAUGGGCCCGCGUUGGAUUAGCUAGUUGGUAGGGUAAAAGCCUACCAAGGCGACGAUCCAUAGCUGGUCUGAGAGGAUGAUCAGCCACAAUGGGACUGAGACACGGCCCAGACUCCUACGGGAGGCAGCAGUGGGGAAUAUUGGACAAUGGGCGAAAGCCUGAUCCAGCAAUGCCGCGUGAGUGAUGAAGGCCUUAGGGUUGUAAAGCUCUUUUACCCGGGAUGAUAAUGACAGUACCGGGAGAAUAAGCUCCGGCUAACUCCGUG
rnacentral:rRNA from 1 species